rnacentral:rRNA from 3 species
GCCUACAUGAAGCUGGAGUUACUAGUAAUCGCAGAUCAGAAUGCUGCGGUGAAUGCGUUCCCGGGUCUUGUACACACCGCCCGUCACACCACGGGAGUUGGAGACGCCCGAAGCCGAUUAUCUAACCGUUUGGAAGAAGUCGUCGAAGGUGGAAUCAAUAACUGGGGUGAAGUCGUAACAAGGUAGCCGUAUCGGAAGGUGCGGCUGGAUCACCUCCUUU